rnacentral:sRNA from 1 species
AGGCGACGUUCGAAGCGGUUCCCUUGGAUGGAACAGGGCAAUGAGCCCAUCUACAUAAUGACCACGUCGCGUCCGGAGCUGCAGCGGUCCCCCACCUCCUCCACUGCACCUCUGUAUGUGUCAGGCCAUCUCUCGGUCUCGCCGGAACUCCCGCGCUAACGCAAGAAUUGGGAAGACACUCCGGCUCAAAGUACGCCCCAGGCACGCCCCAACUCGUGUUGAUGACGUUGCAAGUCCCUGCUGGAUUCUUGGAAGUGGCAGCGUCUCAUGGGGGGCGGGAACUGGGAAGGACGCUGUCACUCGGUCGGCUUCUGCGGAGAAACGAAGGGGCCGACGCGAAGUCUGGAGGGAAGAAUGAUCGCUUUUGCCAGCGACCGAAUUCAACCUGUCCGCCGCGCGGAUGGUUCCCGAGAUUUUUGGGUUUACCGAAAGAAAAGCAGCGCUCCGGCAGAUGCGAUACGAAGCGCUGCAGUUGUCCGACAUGUGCGAUUGUUCGCGAGUCGAAAUCCAGAGGAGAAAACAACCUUCUGAAAUAGGAACGCCUAUCAAACGCCGUGUUGGCUGGAAUGUUCCGGAACAAUCCCAUUUUGAGGCUGGCCACUUUUAUGCGGGCUCCGGUAGCGGUUCAGGAAGAGGACUGUCGUCCCCACCGCCAUCAUCGUCAUUCGGCCACCACGCCUGCCAGUUGUCGCUCAACACGCCACCACGACCGAAGUUCCCAGCGUUGCCGAACUGCGAGCGAUUCAAGCAGUCUUCGCCCUUUCGAGUUAAUCCGGACGUCUUGCUGGACGGGGAAAGCCACUUGGCAAAUAUUGUAUGUGCUCGCAGCGCGCUAAGGCAGGAAAGUAACGACAUAGCUUUUCAGGAGCAAUUUAGAGCAGACCCCGCCACGAGCCACGGGAUGUUGGUGGCGGGGUUGCUUGCGGGC